rnacentral:rRNA from 1 species
UACAGAGGUCUCAAGCGUUGUCCGGAAUCAUUGGGCGUAAAGAGCGUGUAGGCGGCCCGGUAAGUCCGCUGUGAAAGUCGGGGGCUCAACCCUCGAAUGCCGGUGGAUACUGUCGGGCUAGAGUGCGGAAGAGGCGAGUGGAAUUCCUGGUGUAGCGGUGAAAUGCGCAGAUAUCAGGAGGAACACCGAUUGCGAAGGCAGCUCGCUGGGACGUAACUGACGCUGAGACGCGAAAGCGUGGGGAGCAAACAGG